rnacentral:rRNA from 1 species
AGUGAACGCUGGCGGCGUGCCUAACACAUGCAAGUCGAACGAUGAUGGAUGAGCUUGCUCAUCCUGAUUAGUGGCGCACGGGUGAGUAUACCAUAGAUAAUGUACCCCUUAGUUCGGGAUAGCCACUGGAAACGGUGAUUAAUACCGGAUACUCCUUCUUGCCAUAAGGUAAGUCGGGAAAGUUUUUUCGCUAAGGGAUCAGUCUAUGUCCUAUCAGGUAGUUGGUUAGGUAACGGCUCACCAAGCCUAUGACGGGAAUCCGGUUGGAGAGGAUGAUCAGACAAAAUGGAACUGAGACACGGUCCAGACUCCUAAGGGAGGCAGCAGUGAGGAAUAUUGCACAAUGGAGGAAACUCUGAUGCAGCAACGCCGCGUGGAGGAUGACGCAUUUCGGUGUGUAAACUCCUUUUAAGAGGGAAGAUUAUGACGGUACCUCUUGAAUAAGCACCGGCUAACUCCGUGCCAGCAGCCGCCGCCGUAA